GACGAACGCUGGCGGCGUGCUUAACACAUGCAAGUCGAACGGAAAGGCCCUGCUUUUGUGGGGUGCUCGAGUGGCGAACGGGUGAGUAACACGUGAGUAACCUGCCCUUGACUUUGGGAUAACUUCAGGAAACUGGGGCUAAUACCGGAUAGGAGCUCCUGCUGCAUGGUGGGGGUUGGAACGUUUCGGCGGUUGGGGAUGGACUCGCGGCUUAUCAGCUUGUUGGUGGGGUAGUGGCUUACCAAGGCUGUGACGGGUAGCCGGCCUGAGAGGGUGACCGGCCACAUUGGGACUGAGAGACGGCGCAGACUCCAACGGGAGGCAGCAGUGGGGAAUAUUGCACAAUGGGCGGAAGCCUGAUGCAGCAACGCCGCGUGCGGGAUGACGGCCUUCGGGUUGUAAACCGCUUUCGCCUGUGACGAAGCGUGAGUGACGGUAAUGGGUAAAGAAGCACCGGCUAACUACGUG
rnacentral:rRNA from 1 species